AGAGUUUGAUCCUGGCUCAGAACGAACGCUGGCGGCGUGUUUAAGACAUGCAAGUCGCACGGAGUCAUUUGUGUAGCAAUACUUGAAUGGCUUAGUGGCGCACGGGUGAGUAACAUGUGAAUUACAUGCCCUAUAGUGGGGAAUAGCCCAGGGAAACUUGGAUUAAUACCCCAUGGUCUCGCAAGAGUAAAGGUGGCCGCAAGGCUGUCGCUAUAGGAUUGGUUCGCACCCUAUCAGCUUGUUGGUGAGGUAACGGCUCACCAAGGCUACGACGGGUACCUGGUCUGAGAGGACGAUCAGGCACACUGGAACUGAGACACGGUCCAGACACCUACGGGUGGCAGCAGUCGAGAAUAAUUCACAAUGGGGGCAACCCUGAUGGUGCAACGCCGCGUGGAGGAUGACGGUCUUCGGAUUGUAAACUCCUGUCAUCUGGGAGUAAGACCUGGUCGUUAAUAGCGGACAGGGUUGAUAGUACCAGAAGAGGAAGGGACGGCUAACUUCGUGCCAGCAGCCGCGGUAAUACGAAGGUCCCGAGCGUUGUUCGGAAUCACUGGGCGUAAAGGGAGCGUAGGCGGCGUGGUAAGUCAGAUGUGAAAUCCCGGGGCUCAACCCCGGAACUGCAUCCGAUACUGCCGUGCUAGAGGAUUGGAGAGGUAGCUGGAAUUCUUGGUGUAGCAGUGAAAUGCGUGGAUAUCAAGAGGAACACUCGUGGCGAAAGCGAGCUACUGGACAACUCCUGACGCUGAGGCUCGAAGGCCAGGGUAGCGAAAGGGAUUAGAUACCCCUGUAGUCCUGGC
rnacentral:rRNA from 1 species